rnacentral:tRNA from 1 species
GGGGCCGAGCAGAACGCUUCCACGGACUACGCCCGUAGAAGGCGCAGCCUUGCAGCAGUGGACGGGGGUUCGAUUCCCCCCAUCUCCACCA